AGGACGAACGCUGGCGGCGUGCUUAACACAUGCAAGUCGAGCGGAAAGGCCCUUCGGGGUACUCGAGCGGCGAACGGGUGAGUAACACGUGAGUAAUCUGCCCCUAGCUCUGGGAUAGCUCCGGGAAACCGGGAUUAAUACCAGAUACGACCACUUUAGACAUCUGUUGUGGUGGAAAGAAUUUCGGCUAGGGAUGAGCUCGCGGCCUAUCAGCUUGUUGGUGAGGUAACGGCUCACCAAGGCGACGACGGGUAGCCGGCCUGAGAGGGCGACCGGCCACACUGGGACUGAGACACGGCCCAGACUCCUACGGGAGGCAGCAGUGGGGAAUAUUGCGCAAUGGGCGAAAGCCUGACGCAGCGACGCCGCGUGGGGGAUGAAGGCCUUCGGUUGUAAACCCUUUCAGCAGGACGAAGCGAAAGUGACGGUACCUAGCAGAAGAAGCGCCGGCUAACUACGUGCCAGCAGCCGC
rnacentral:rRNA from 1 species